GUAUGACCCUGUGCUUGGAGGGGUGAUUUCCACCCUCGAGUGUGAAGACCUGUAGAACCUGAUGCUUUGUGACAUAUUCUAGAGCAACACGACACUCUAGCCAUUCAAUCCUGAACCACAGGAUCUGCAGACACUUAUUAAAGGGGUAGUGCUGGUAAAUGAUGUGUUUGUUUCAGAGACCUACUAGGUCCAUUGCAGAGAGAGGAGUUUCAUGUGACCAUGUUACUUUGCCCUGGUAUUACAGUGAUGGAAGUUCCGGACAUCAACAUGGAUUUUGUACCUGGACCCACAUUUUGGCAAAUACCAGAUGUCAUGCCAUGCUGUGCUCCUACCUUCGAGGCAGGAGGAAAGGGCCUGUUUGUUUUUGUGUGGACUGUCAACCAGGAAUUGGAGCCUAC
rnacentral:lncRNA from 1 species